UAGCCAUGUUGUGGACAUGAAUUUAUGAGAUCCCUAAAUCGCUCCCAACAUUGGAAGAAGGUCUCAUCAUUUUUUUUUGUGCGAAAUUCAUAAUUGCUUUCCUUAAGGUA